UACGGAGGGAGCAAGCGUUACUCGGAAUUAUUGGGCGUAAAGGGCGCGUAGGCGAUCUGAAAAGUUCUGUGUGAAAGCCCACAUGUUAACUGUGGAAGUGCACAGAAAACUGUUGGAUUUGAGUUCAGGAGAGGAAGGCAGAAUUCCCGGUGUAGCGGUGAAAUGCGUAGAGAUCGGGAGGAAUACCAGUGGCGAAGGCGGCAUCCUGGACCGGCAUUGACGCUGAGGCGCGAAAGCCAGGGGGAGCAAACGGGG
rnacentral:rRNA from 1 species